rnacentral:rRNA from 1 species
GCCAGCCCGCUCAAGAAACUUAAAGGAAAUUGACGGGGCCCGGCACAGCGGAGGAGCAUGUGGUUUAAUUCGAUGAUACGCGAGGAACCUUACCUGGGCUCGAACGUAAGAUGACUGUAGGUGAAAGCUUACAUCUCUUCGGAGCAUUUUACGAGGUGCUGCAUGGUUGUCGUCAGCUCGUGCCGUGAGGUGUCGGGUUAAGUCCCAUAACGAGCGCAACCCCUACCUUUAGUUGCCAUCAGGUAAUGCUGGGGACUCUAAAGGAACUGCCUACGCAAGUAGUGAGGAAGGCGGGGAUGACGUCAAAUCAGCACGGCCCUUACGUCCAGGGCUACACACGUGCUACAAUGGCCGAUACAGAGGGCAGCUACCUGGUGACAGGAUGCAAAUCUCCAAAGUCGGUCUCAGUUCGGAUCGGAGUCCGCAACCCGACUCCGUGAAGUUGGAUUCGCUAGUAAUCGCGCAUCAGCCAUGGCGCGGUGAAUACGUUCCCGGGCCUU